rnacentral:rRNA from 1 species
GAGAGACCGAUAGCAAACAAGUACCGCGAGGGAAAGAUGAAAAGGACUUUGAAAAGAGAGUCAAAGAGUGCUUGAAAUUGUCGGGAGGGAAGCGAAUGGGGGCCGGCGAUGCGCCUCGGUCGGAUGUGGAACGGUUAACGCCGGUCCGCCAAUCGACUCGGGGCGUGGAUCGGUGCGGAUUGGGACGGAGGCCAAAGCCCAGGAAGUCGUUAAGCCUGCGGAGACGCCUUCGCCCCGAUCGUGGCUGGCAGCGCGCGCCAUUUCGGCGUGCUUCGGCAUCUGCGCGCUCCCGG